rnacentral:snRNA from 1 species
AAAUACAGUUACGGUUAUUAGAU